CAAAAGAAGAGUUUGAUCCUGGCUUAGAACGAAUGCUAGUUAUAUGCUUAAGACAUGCAAGUCAAACGUUGUUUUCGGGGAGCUGGGCAGAAGGAAAAGAGGCACCUAGCUAACUAAAGUUAGCAUGUCUAGCCCUAGCAGUGGUAGCCAGUGUAGGCAACGAGCUUUGCCAGUGGUAGCAACAAGCAAAGAAAGCCCUCGCCAACUAUUGGAAGCCUCUGCUACGCAAGCCAGUGGUAGCAACUGGAAUUUGUUUAGGGGGCUUUUUUUGCAGCGUGAGCAAAGCGAUUGUUGAACUGUGCUUGGACAUUGCUACCACAGGCUUGCCUACACUGCCUUCACGGAGGUGGGAACAGUUGAGAACAAAGUGGCGAAUGGGUGCGUAACGCGUGGGAAUCUGCCGAAUAGUUCGUGCCAAAUCCUGAAGAAAGCUAAAAAGCGUUGUUUGAUGAGCCUGCGUAGUAUCAAGUAGUUGGUCAGGUAAAGGCUGACUAAGCCAAUGAUGCUUAGCUGGUCUUUUCAGAUGAUCAGCAACACUGGGACUUAUACACGGCCCGGACUCCCAAGGGGGGCUGCAGUGGGGAAUCUUGGACAAUGGGCGAAAGCCCGAUCCAACAAUAUCGCGUGAGUGAAGUAGGGCAAUGCCGCUUGUAAAGAUCUUUCGUCGAGUGCGCGAUCAUGACAGGACUCGAGGAAGAAGCCUCGGCUAACUCCGUGCCAGCAGCCUCGAUAAGACGGGGGGGGGGCCAAGUGUUAUUGGGAAUGACUGGGAGUACAGGGCACGUAGGCAGUUCAUCGGGAUUGAAAGUGAAAGUCGCUAAAAAGUGGCGGAAUGCUCUCGAAACCAAUGAACUUAAAUGAGACAGAGGAGAGUGGAAUUUCGUAGGGGUGAAAUCCAGAGAUCAACGAAGGAACGCCAAAAAAGAAGGCAACUCUCUGGGUCCCUACAGACGCUGGGGUACGAAAGCAUGGGGAGCAAACAGGAUUAGAUACCCUGGUAGUCCACACCGUAAACGAUGAGUGUUCGCCCUCGAGCAUGUGGUUU
rnacentral:ncRNA from 1 species